rnacentral:rRNA from 1 species
CAUGAAGCUGGAAUCGCUAGUAAUCGCGGAUCAGAAUGCCGCGGUGAAUACGUUCCCGGGUCUUGUACACACCGCCCGUCACACCAUGGGAGUUGGAAAUGCCCGAAGUCAGUGGCCCAACCGCAAGGAGGGAGCUGCCGAAGGCAGGUCCGGUAACCGGGGUGAAGUCGUAACAAGGUAUC